rnacentral:rRNA from 1 species
GAUGAACGCUGGCGGCGUGCCUAAUACAUGCAAGUCGAGCGAACGGACGAGAAGCUUGCUUCUCUGAUGUUAGCGGCGGACGGGUGAGUAACACGUGGAUAACCUACCUAUAAGACUGGGAUAACUUCGGGAAACCGGAGCUAAUACCGGAUAAUAUUUUGAACCGCAUGGUUCAAAAGUGAAAGACGGUCUUGCUGUCACUUAUAGAUGGAUCCGCGCUGCAUUAGCUAGUUGGUAAGGUAACGGCUUACCAAGGCAACGACGCAUAGCCGACCUGAGAGGGUGAUCGGCCACACUGGAACUGAGACACGGUCCAGACUCCUACGGGAGGCAGCAGUAGGGAAUCUUCCGCAAUGGGCGAAAGCCUGACGGAGCAACGCCGCGUGAGUGAUGAAGGUCUUCGGAUCGUAAAACUCUGUUAUUAGGGAAGAACAUAUGUGUAAGUAACUGUGCACAUCUUGACGGUACCUAAUCAGAAAGCCACGGCUAACUACGUGCCAGCAGCCGCGGUAAUACGUAGGUGGCAAGCGUUAUCCGGAAUUAUUGGGCGUAAAGCGCGCGUAGGCGGUUUUUUAAGUCUGAUGUGAAAGCCCACGGCUCAACCGUGGAGGGUCAUUGGAAACUGGAAAACUUGAGUGCAGAAGAGGAAAGUGGAAUUCCAUGUGUAGCGGUGAAAUGCUCAGAGAUAUGGAGGAACACCAGUGGCGAAGGCGACUUUCUGGUCUGUAACUGACGCUGAUGUGCGAAAGCGUGGGGAUCAAACAGGAUUAGAUACCCUGGUAGUCCACGCCGUAAACGAUGAGUGCUAAGUGUUAGGGGGUUUCCGCCCCUUAGUGCUGCAGCUAACGCAUUAAGCACUCCGCCUGGGGAGUACGACCGCAAGGUUGAAACUCAAAGGAAUUGACGGGGACCCGCACAAGCGGUGGAGCAUGUGGUUUAAUUCGAAGCAACGCGAAGAACCUUACCAAAUCUUGACAUCCUUUGACAACUCUAGAGAUAGAGCCUUCCCCUUCGGGGGACAAAGUGACAGGUGGUGCAUGGUUGUCGUCAGCUCGUGUCGUGAGAUGUUGGGUUAAGUCCCGCAACGAGCGCAACCCUUAAGCUUAGUUGCCAUCAUUAAGUUGGGCACUCUAAGUUGACUGCCGGUGACAAACCGGAGGAAGGUGGGGAUGACGUCAAAUCAUCAUGCCCCUUAUGAUUUGGGCUACACACGUGCUACAAUGGACAAUACAAAGGGCAGCGAAACCGCGAGGUCAAGCAAAUCCCAUAAAGUUGUUCUCAGUUCGGAUUGUAGUCUGCAACUCGACUACAUGAAGCUGGAAUCGCUAGUAAUCGUAGAUCAGCAUGCUACGGUGAAUACGUUCCCGGGUCU